GGCUUGUUGAAUAUGAUUUCAGGUCUGACCUGCCCAAUGAUUUUAUUUUUAAUGGCUGCGGUAUUUUAACCGUACAAAGGUAGCAUAAUCAUUAGUUUUUUAAUUAAAAGCUUGUAUGAAAGGUUUGAUGAAAAAAUUUCUGUCUCUAUCUAAAUUUAGUAGAAUUUUAUUUUUGAGUGAAAAAGCUUAGAUUGAUAUGAAAGACGAGAAGACCCUAUAGAGUUUUAUAGGUUAAGGAAUGGGGAAUUUCUGUAGAAGUUAGAUUAAUUUAUUCUUUAGCUUAUUUAGUUGGGGUGAUUAAAAAAUUUGUUUAACUUUUUUUUUGAAAAGACAUUGAUGUAUGAGUUAUUGAUCCUUGAGUUUAGAUAAAAAGAAUAAAUUACCUUAGGGAUAACAGCGUAAUUUUUUCUAGAGUUCUUAUCGAAUAAAAAGAUUGCGACCUCGAUGUUGGAUUAAAAUAAAUUUUUGGUGGAGAAGCUAAAAAAGUUAGGUCUGUUCGACCUUUAAAAUUUUACAUGAUCUGAGUUUAAACCGGUGUAAG
rnacentral:rRNA from 1 species